AGUUCUCUGAAAGUCUUAUAUAGACAGACCCCUUCUUUUCCUAAGAACUUCAAGCAGCCUAGAGUGUAACACAUCUGGAGAACAUCAGCCUUCAGCCAUGAAGACCCUUUUCCUUUUGUUUGCUGCUCUCUUGUUCUUCAGUCAAAUUAUUCCAGGAAAUUCUCAGCCUGCCCCUGAUACCUUAGAAUGCAGGAGGAGUCAUCAUGGAUUCUGUAAAUAUCAGUGCCCUGGGCAGACUUUACCUACUGGAGGGACAUGUCAGUGGGGAAGGCUGGUUUGCUGUAAAUCUCCUUGGAAUCAGAGAAGGUGGUAAUCAACUCAACCAUAGACAAAGCAAGACUUCUGGAUUCUAGAGAAAUACAUGCUGACUUUGGAAAUUGGUGGCUUCAGCUUCAAAGUCAAGAAUAAAGAGUUAUUUGUUUGGACUACAAAACAGACAUAAUGUUCUGCAAAUAAAUUCACACUCCUGUCCACCUUCUCCUCUCCUUUUAAAAUUAUUCAUUUUUUUUUACUUAAGGGGAAGUUUCAGAAACGAUUAAAUAAAUCAGUUAGAGUUCUCUGUAUAGAAAUUUGGAAAUAAAAGUUGAUCCCAAAUUAAGAAAUAAUUAGGUAAAUUUUAGAAAUAGGCUGUAAUGUCAAAAGAUAACAGGUUAUGGAUAUUUUAAACAAAGGAAGGCAAUAAAGAAGGGACAAGAAACUACUUACUUUUCUGGAAUUCUGUGGAAGAAAUUUACAUUUUUACUUACAAAAAAUAAAUUACAGAGCUAGUAUAAUCUAUUCCCUUGUGAUAUGCAUGAAAAUAUAUCUCAUUUAAAUAUCUGCACAAUUAUGCACCUUCUGCUUCAUUUGCAUAUACUUGUUUCUUGUGGCUUCCACCUUUUUUCUCCUCAAAAGUUUUCUAUAUCUAUCAUCUCUGUCUCCCUCUAAAGAUUUUUAAAGAGAAAGAUAAAAACUAAUACAAACUAAUUUCAAGUAAAAAAAACAAAAAGAGAAGAAAUAAAAGAAAAAGCUAAAAGUGCAAGAAGGAAAAAAAAGAACUAAAAUAAAAAUGAUAGGAAAGAGAAACAAAGAAGUUGCUUCAAAUCUUCUUUACAGUAGUUAUAAGUACAAUUAUACAAUUGCCUCUUACUUUAUGGUUACAAUAUGUCUCUCUUCUUUCUAGAAUCUAUCCGGUCUAAUCAUCAAACCCAUAAAUUAUAAAUUCAUUUUUCCCCAUAUCAUGCAAAAAGUUCAUAAGGGGUCUAUAAGUCGGCAAUAAACAUGGAUAUUGUCUUUUUUCUGUUCAAAGAAGUCAUUUUUUUUUUCAAAAGCAGUAUAAAUUGUGAAGUCUGCAAUUUCAGGCAUGCCCAUGAGAGUUUGAACAUAAAAAAAAACUUUAUGCAUUUACACUGAAUGUUAUCGCCUUUUUUCUAUUAAUGUUCCUUAGUCUUGUAAAACCUACUAACAAACUCAAAUAAAAUACAGAUCUUAAAGCAGA